rnacentral:rRNA from 1 species
GAUGAACGCUGGCGGCGUGCCUAAUACAUGCCAGUCGAGCGAACAGACGAGGAGCUUGCUCCUCUGACGUUAGCGGCGGACGGGUGAGUAACACGUGGAUAACCUACCUAUAAGACUGGGAUAACUUCGGGAAACCGGAGCUAAUACCGGAUAAUAUAUUGAACCGCAUGGUUCAAUAGUGAAAGACGGUUUUGCUGUCACUUAUAGAUGGAUCCGCGCCGCAUUAGCUAGUUGGUAAGGUAACGGCUUACCAAGGCGACGAUGCGUAGCCGACCCGAGAGGGUGAUCGGCCACACUGGAACUGAGACACGGUCCAGACUCCUACGGGAGGCAGCAGUAGGGAAUCUUCCGCAAUGGGCGAAAGCUUGACGGAGCAACGCCGCGUGAGUGAUGAAGGUCUUCGGAUCGUAAAACUCUGUUAUUAGGGAAGAACAAAUGUGUAAGUAACUAUGCACGUCUUGACGGUACCUAAUCAGAAAGCCACGGCUAACUACGUG